GGGGAAUCUUGCGCAAUGGCCGAAAGGCUGACGCAGCGACGCCGCGUGUGGGAGGACGCUCUUCGGAUCGUAAACCACUGUUGCCCGGGACGAACAGCGCUAUUCGUGGCGUCUGACGGUACCGGGUGAGGAAGCACCGGCUAACUCCGUGCCAGCAGCCGCGGUAAUACGGAGGGUGCGAGCGUUGUCCGGAAUCAUAGGGCGUAAAGGGCGCGUAGGUGGCCCGGUCAGUCUUUGGUGAAAGCGCGGGGCUCAACCCUGCGUCGGCCAGGGAUACUGCCGCGGCUCGAGCACUGUAGAGGCAGGCGGAAUUCCGGGUGUAGCGGUGGAAUGCGUAGAGAUCCGGAAGAACACCGGUGGCGAAGGCGGCCUGCUGGGCAGUUUAGCUGACACUGAGGCGCGACAGCGUGGGGAGCAAAC
rnacentral:rRNA from 1 species